GCGGCGGUGCUCCGAUCGGAUCGGGAGCAGGAAGACAGCGGUGAGCACAUAAAGGGCGCGGGCGGCACACUGCCCGGCCAAGAGGAGGAGCAGGAGGGGAGGCGAUGAGGCGGGGCCGUAAGCGUCGGACGCGCUCGCUCGCCUGCAAUCAAAGCGGACUCAGCGGCCGUCCAUGGCGGCUCGGGUCGAUGCAUGAGGACGAUGGGAGGAGCUCGCGAGGGCCGGCACCGGGAAUGGAGUGGAGGCGGGUGGAUCUGGCGAUUCCGCAGGGGCUGCGGCGACGAGCGGCUCCGUGGGCGGCGACCUGCAGGGUUCAAGCGACGGCUGCCAUGAAGGUUGGGCGGUUGCUCUCUGUAGAGAAGGAAUAGAAGGAGAGGAAGAAGGCAGGUCACUCAAAAAGCAUCCACUUCCUGCCCCCCCUCUCCUCUAGCAUGCCAUGAUGUGCGCGGCUGGACGUGUGAUGUGCGUCCAUGUUCAUGUGAUCUUCAAGACAGUAGGGACCAAUUGCACCCUUGCUUCUGUUUCUGUCCUAUGAACCAAUCUGAGAUGGCCACUAAGAAGCACUUGGCUGGUACAGAGAAAUUUUCUGUAGUCUUCAAAUAAAACAUGCUAAUCUUGUAGGAUGUGCUUUUUCGAGCAGGAAGGGGAGGUGAUGUGCGCAAGGUACGUCGUCGAGGAAGUGAACACCAGUUUCAGCUAUAUAGUGUUUUGUGGUGAAUGAGAAUGUUUCAUAGUUUAUUAUUAAUCUAAAUUUUGGUUUUACGCUUUUGCUUCACACAGAUAUUGUUGAGUAACUUUUUUCCAAACUAUGUACUAUACAUGUGGAUUUUUUUGCGGGGAUACUGUAUGUCCACUUCUGAGUACAAAUUCUAAAUUCGUAUAUGAAACCUGAAUUCAACUCCUACCAUACAAAACUAAUUUUGUGGUUUAGUUGUUUAAGAGCUCAAAUAGGAUGUCUACUGGAACCUCAAGGAAAACGAAAAGAAGUGCAGGAGCAGGAGCUGGAGAUGCAGCCGCACAAGGUCGAACCGGCCACAUAGAUCAUUUUCUUCUGCAACUAUGACAACUACAGCAAGACCUUUGUUGAUGUGGCUGCCUUGAGGAAGCAUGCUCAUGUACAUGGCGAGAGGGGAUGUAUGUUUUUUAGUAGCCCGGCUAUUGGAAGUAAUUUCAGGCUUUUUAUAAAGGACCUUUCUCUGUUUGGCAUAGAUUAAUGAUUUUGGUACAUCCAUCCAUCCAAUCCACAUGCCGCUGAUGAACAAAUAGUGAUCCAGUUUGGUCGGAGUAGAUAUAAGUUUGGUCUCUGCUCGAGCUCCUGCUGCUGCUUGGAUUUUCCUUUUCCCCUCUCAUCCAACCGUGGGUACCAUCUGACCCAUUUUCUUUUCGUGGUUGAUUGGUGCUAAUUGAUUUCAUCAUAUGGCCAAUGUUUCUUGGUUAGGGGCCUGUUAUUUUUUUUUGAGCUUGACGAUGCCGUGGUCGCCCAGCCGAUCAAAUCCUCGCGCACACACAACAACUCAACUCCACGGUCUGCACACAACAGCUCAACACCACGGUUUGUACGCCACAGCCGCCGCUUGAGCAGCUCGAUGGGCAAUUUAUGUUAUGUACCUCUAUAUGAUAAUCCCUCCAUAGCUAUCUAGAAAAGGUUUCGAUUUGAAUUUGGUUAAGUUUAGUUUAGCGUGGUGAUGCUUACCCUAAUAAGUUGGUGUGUUGUUGUACUGUAUUGAAUAAAUGGUGGGCACUGAAUUUUCCAUGGAUUCAGCAGAGGAGAAGAAUCUCACCUACUUGCUAGCUUCCCAAAUGCAGUAAGCAAUGAAUACUUUCCAAAUGAAAUAGUGAAGACGCUCAUUUUCAGAGCAGAUGCACUCACAUGUGUCUUGAAUCAUUUAAUUUCUUUGUUUCGUGAAUAAAUGUUGGUUGGUGCUCUUGCUCUUUUACCAUGGUAACUUUGUAAACUUCAGAAUGCCUAAAGUUGGUUGCACACUCACUCGCUCAGCAAUGAGCAGUGAAGUCGCCAGCUUUGCCGUUGGCUGAAGAACAACAAGGUCUUUGUUGCAUGAUUAUUAGUUUGUUAAAUAUUUGUACAACAUCAAAGUACUUUUUAGUUGCAGAUUUGGCAAUACCUAGGACCUUAUGUUCCUCCAGUUCGGGGGCGGUUUAAAAGGCAGCUGUUCGAAACAUGAACGAAAAUGACUGUAGGUGGCAUACGUAUGGUACAGUCGAAGGACGUGAUUGGCUGGUAAGUUUAUGUGAGAAAUAGUUUAAGAAAUUGCAUGGAAGAUGUUUUAAGUUUACAUUGAAAUAAAGGGCGUGGACCUGUGCGUUGGGAUUGGGUGCUUUUUGUUUUCCGGUUGCAAUGCACAGGCACGUUUGUAUAUACUAGUAAUAAUAAAGCACGGGUUGAGUCUGUCGGGUUCACCGUCACUGUGUUUUUACGAAAAGGUCCCUAUUGUUUUGGGUAUUCAACCCGCAGUCCUCGUGAUAAGUCAAUCGAACCACUACACAUGAGAGAAAAGGAAAAAAAAAGACACCCUCACGAGUCACGAACCUGCCUCCCGAUCCCAUCUUCACCUCCAUCUCGCCGCCGCCUCGCCCCUCCCCGCGCCGCUGCCUCCUGCCACGCCUUGCCCCUCCCCGCGCUGCCGCGUCCUGCCACGCCCAGCCCGGCGCCGCCGCGCGCCGCCGCCUCCUACCCCGUCGGCGCGCCUACUCUUACCCCAAGUGCCCCCAUACCCGCGGCCUCCCACCGCCGGCAACAAUCGAUGAUGCGGCUGAUGACGGCUCCCCCUACCUACCACCGCUGGGAUUCCUCCCCGUUGCUUCCACCUCAACAAUGGUUACCACAACCCCGCCGGCUUCGCCACCAGCCACUCCUUCAUCCACACAAAUCAUAGGAGACAGUUGCAUGGGAGAUCCUACGAGCAUGGCCUCGACGGCACUGGCAGUGGAAGUACGCGGGUGAUUGGCGCUUGGAAGGUCGCGGUUGAGGCAUGAGGACGGCAGCAGCGGCAGUCAAAAUCUUCAUGAAGUUUUUCCGCUUACCCUCCCCCGGUCUGAUUUCUCUCCAAUCUUUGAAUCCCCUCAGUUUGAACUAAUGCCAUGUAUUUUCAGAACAAUUAGUGAAUCAAUUGUUAGUUGAAAGAUGGUUGAUGCACCGAAAAAGAUUGUAUUGAUUCAAUCUAGAAAAGUCAAGAUCACAAUUGCAAUUAAAUAUACAUUUGUUGAGCCAAAAGUAGCAGUUACAUAUGCAUUUGGUCAAUCUUUUGGCCUCUCUCUUCAUGCAUUAUGAUUGCCAUCUUGAGAAAAAAAAUGGAAAAACAUGUAAAGCUGUAUGAGUUUUUUAUGUUUGCAAUUUUUAGUUUUGGGGGGAAUUAAUGGAUCCACUCGGCUUGCCCUUGAAUCCAACUGUUUUUAGUUUUUAGUGUCCAGGAAAAAUUCUUGAGAUGAUGGAAACGAAUUUCCCUCUCAAGAAAAGGUGGAAUACGAAUGGGAUGGAAAGCUAGAGCUGGAGCAGGUAGAGCAUGGUGGAGGGUCUGCUUCUACCUCUCUAGCCUCUCGACUGGAUCAUAUAUGUUUUGCGGCUUCGCGGCUCCAUUAAUGGCAGUAGGGCGCUUGUGUCAUCCAUGUCUGAUUCGUGCAACCAUCAUCUGUAGCAUUUGCUGGAGCCAUCAUCCCAAACAGUUUCACUGAUUCUCAGCAUUUCCCAUGGAAAACAGGAGGAUUUCAAUUUGCUAGGGCUCAUAGAAUGUCACAAGAAAGAUGAUUUUUGGAUUAAACUUGAUAUCGAUCAGACUGGUUUAUAUAAAGUGAUGAUGAGGAACUUGCAUCACGACUUAGGCAUGCAGUUGAGACCAACACACUUGAGUGCAAUAGACAGAUAUGGUGUACUUGAUGACACAUAUGCCCUCUGUAUGGCUGGUAAAUAGAAGGUGGUCAUGUUGCUGCAUUUGAUUGUUCCGUACAAGACUGAGACUGAGUAUUCUGUGCUUGCCACAUGCCAUCAACAUACUACUCUUCCCAUUCUAAUUAAUUUUUUAUGUUCCUAAACUUGAUUUUGUUCUUGCCUUUAUAGACAAGCCUGAGCAUAUUUGAGAUGAUGGCUAUUGCUGCACGUGAAGAGUUGGUUUAUAUGAAGAAGUUUCUAAUUAACUUCCUUUAGCCAUUUGUGCAGUAAGUUAUUUGCUUUUAUCAUUGUGUAGUGGAAAGAUAGUUUAUCUGUAUGCCUUUGCUUGCCAAAAACGAAUAGUUAUGGUAGGAAGUUGAACUAGCUAUGACGAUCUGAGCAGAUGGAAUGUUGUCCGGCAUUGCCAAUACAUUGAGUAAUUCAGCUGUAAGUCUAUAAGCAGUUCUCUUCAAAAGAGAAAAAUAUAUAACAUGAUUCAGUGAAUGGCCGCCCCUUCUAUUUAACUAACACUAACACUGCAAUUAUAUUCACCGCAAGUACAAUUCACGUACAUAUGCAGUUCGAUUCCAUGUGAAGUCAAUGACUGAUUAUCUAUGAAUUUCUUCAGGUUUGAUUGGUGGACUUGCAUUUAACAAAGAAGAUAUGUUUAAUUAUAGGGAAUUUUUGAGGUAAUAUCUAUCUAAGUUGUUUUGCUUGCUGCUACUGCAAUUGUUAUUCUAGGUUGGUUUGCUUCCUCCUGCUAUUAUUUUAGAUUUAUUGAUAUUGCUUUUUUUUCUUUAGAGAGAUAAAUUUACUCGAUCAUGCCCCAUUGCCCCGAGGGCCCUGAGCUCACGUGACCAUCCUAAAAUGAUCCAUCCUUUUUUCUCAUGAGGGAUUGUUUGUCCAAUGACACAGUUUGUCGACUUGGCCAACCGUGCUUCAUAGGAACUGAUGCUCCCCCGUUGCAAUGCACGGGCAUUUGACCUCAAGUUCACAUGACUCGUGCUUCUUUACCUUCAAAAGACGUAUGAUACUCAGCAGAUCAAUUGGUGCCAUCUCCAGAUUCCUCUCAUCAUGUUGUUUCAUUUGUCUUAACAAGUUUCACUCGGAGAUGCACACAUGAAACAUGCUAUUUUUUUAGUGCGCAUCAAACAUAGUGAAGAUUGCUUUUCUUGUGAAAAAGAAAAGUUAUCGUUCUAAAGAUCUGUACUCUGAAUCCUAGAUCUCAUGCUUUGUUUUUUUGCAUAGUUUUUUAGGCCUGGUGAGUAUCAAAUGCCAUGAAAAUUCAAGAAUUUCAUGGGAAGAACGAAGACAGCUAGCAAGAUUGGGUUCUCCAAGGAAUGCCCAUACAAACUGGCUAUGGGGACGGUGAUUCAAGGGAUGGAACCGCGAUCAUGCUUAGCCAGUUCGGCAGUCCAAAGUGGAGUUGUAACUAGCUGGUGCUCAAACACCCAAUGCAGAGUUUUGCAUGCGUAUGAGAGUAUGAGGAAAUCUGCAGCACCAUGAUAAGCAUGUACAUAGAUCUGCCUCCUUUUUUUGCAAUAAGAAUAAUGUGGAAACUUCUAGCCUUCUAGAACAAGGAUGGUAGCUUAUUUAACUUUGUUAUAACAAAUAUUGUAUAUGGUCAGUCGAGGAUAAAAGUCUAUUUAUCAACUUGGUUAAUCUGGUUGCAGUCAAGAAGAAAUCUAGGGGGUGCUUCUUUCACUUCA